UACGUAGGGUGCAAGCGUUAAUCGGAAUUACUGGGCGUAAAGCGCACGUAGGCGGCUUUGCAAGUUAGAGGUGAAAGCCCGGGGCUCAACUCCGGAAUUGCCUUUAAAACUGCAUCGCUAGAAUUGUGGAGAGGUAAGUGGAAUUCCGAGUGUAGAGGUGAAAUUCGUAGAUAUUCGCAAGAACACCAGUGGCGAAGGCGGCUGUCUGGUCCGGUUCUGACGCUGAGGCGCGAAAGCGUGGGGAGCAAACAGG
rnacentral:rRNA from 1 species